rnacentral:rRNA from 1 species
GUAGGGAAUAUUCCACAAUGGACGAAAGUCUGAUGGAGCGACGCCGCGUGAGGGAUGAAGGCCUUCGGGUUGUAAACCUCUUUCGACGGGGACUAAAUUCAAUGCAGUGAAUAAUUGCAUUGAUUGACGGUACCCAGGGAAGAAGCUACGGCUAACUCUGUGCCAGCAGCCGCGGUAAUACAGAGGUAGCAAGCGUUGUCCGGAUUCACUGGGCGUAAAGGGCUUGUAGGUUGCUUUUUAAGUCAGGUGUGAAAUCGUCCCGCUUAACGGGACAAUUGCACUUGAUACUGAUUGGCUUGAGUGCAGGAUGGGAAAUCGGAAUUUCCGGUGUAGCGGUGAAAUGCGUAGAUAUCGGAAAGAACACCGGUGGCGAAGGCGGAUUUCUGGCCUGCAACUGACACUGAGGAGCGAAAGCCAGGGGAGCAAACGGGAUUAGAUACCCCGGUAGUCC